rnacentral:rRNA from 1 species
UACGGAGGGGGGCUAGCGUUGUUCGGAAUCACUGGGCGUAAAGCGCACGUAGGCGGAUUGCUAAGUCAGGGGUGAAAUCCUGGAGCUCAACUCCAGAACUGCCUUUGAUACUGGCGAUCUUGAGUCCGGGAGAGGUGAGUGGAACUGCGAGUGUAGAGGUGAAAUUCGUAGAUAUUCGCAAGAACACCAGUGGCGAAGGCGGCUCACUGGCCCGGUACUGACGCUGAGGUGCGAAAGCGUGGGGAGCAAACAGG